rnacentral:rRNA from 1 species
UAGGGAAUCUUCCACAAUGGACGAAAGUCUGAUGGAGCAACGCCGCGUGAGUGAUGAAGGGUUUCGGCUCGUAAAACUCUGUUGUUGGAGAAGAACAGGUGUGAGAGUAACUGUUCACAUCUUGACGGUAUCCAACCAGAAAGCCACGGCUAACUACGUGCCAGCAGCCGCGGUAAUACGUAGGUGGCAAGCGUUGUCCGGAUUUAUUGGGCGUAAAGCGAGCGCAGGCGGUUUCUUAGGUCUGAUGUGAAAGCCUUCGGCUUAACCGGAGAAGUGCAUCGGAAACCAGGAGACUUGAGUGCAGAAGAGGACAGUGGAACUCCAUGUGUAGCGGUGAAAUGCGUAGAUAUAUGGAAGAACACCAGUGGCGAAGGCGGCUGUCUGGUCUGUAACUGACGCUGAGGCUCGAAAGCAUGGGUAGCGAACAGGAUUAGAUACCCUGGUAGUCCAUGCCGUAAACGAUGAGUGCUAAGUGUUGGAGGGUUUCCGCCCUUCAGUGCUGCA